CUCUUGCAAACCUUUUAGGAUUUAUUAUUCUUGGUAUAUUUCCUAUAAAUAGAGAAGAAUUGGCUACUCCCUUUCAUAAAUUAAAAAUACUAGAAUAUCUACAAAGCUUUUCUUUUGGUUUAUGUUUGAGUUCACAAAAGUAAUGGGUUCUAAGAUCUUUGUUGUUCUAUUUCUAUUCGUGGCUAUUAUCUUUCUGAUCUCUUCUGAGGUUUCAUCCAAACAAGACACAGACGAAAAAUUGGACACCAACAACGGUAAGAAUGAAGCAAAUGGGAAAGAAGAAACCGAGCUUCCGCUUCUUCCUCCAAGUUAUUGUCGCCAUGGUUGCUGCCAUUGGGUUUAUCGUGGGGAAUUGCGGCGGUAUUGCAUCAAGUGCUGCAAAAAAAUCCAUCAUAUUCAUGAUCAUGAUGAUCAACAACAGUUCUUUGACCCUAAUGUUAUUAACGAUGACUCGGAAUCAUAUAACUAAUAGUUAACGUAACCCUGAUAUGAUAUCACUACUAGUCAGGAAUAAUAAAACUCAGCUUCAUGAAGAAUAAUGUAACAAAAUAUAAUAAGGAUGUGUAUAAUAAACGUGCAAUUCUCUCAUUGUACUUAUUGCUAAACGAAUAAUAAAAUAUAUUAUUUCUUGUC